CACGUAGGCACCAAGCGUUGUCCGGAUUUAUUGGGCGUAAAGAGCUCGUAGGCGGUUGAGUAAGUCGGGUGUGAAAACUCUGGGCUUAACCCAGAGCCGCCACCCGAUACUGCUCUGACUUGAGUUCGGUAGGGGAGCAGGGAAUUCCUAGUGUAGCGGUGAAAUGCGCAGAUAUUAGGAGGAACACCGGUGGCGAAGGCGCUGCUCUGGGCCGAUACUGACGCUGAGGAGCGAAAGCGUGGGGAGCGAGUCCGG
rnacentral:rRNA from 1 species